AUGACACGAGAGGAUGAUGUGGUGGCCUUAAUAGCAGCAGGAAGACUCAGCAACACAUCAUGGAGCUGUCUGAGGGACAGAGCACACACUGAGAUGCCUUUGUCCCAGCACUGCCUUGUGAUGCCCCUGCAGACAAACCUGACCAAGCCACUUAAAGCUACCUGUGAUGGAACUUGGCCUUUGUGUCGAGCUCAUAGCACCUUUGCCUUCCUUCUGCAUGAGCAAACAGCCCUUGAGCAAUUUCAAACCGUGCAAGUGAGAGCAGCAAGUGCAGCUGGACCCUGAGCGCCACAGCCAGUUUCAAGGAUGCUUGUGGAAAGAGCAGUUAGAAAUGUCAGUGGUAAGUACAUUCAAGAGGUCGUUCCUUCUGUAGAUUUGAGGACUCCAGAGUCAACGGGUGACAGACUGGAUCAUGGAAGAUGGUGCUGCCACAUCCACAUGCAGGAGUACCCUGACACAAACUCCAGGUCUAUGACCUUCUUAGAUCAGUUGUACCACUUACUUUUUUGCUUAGAAAUAACCACAUAUCAAUUAAUUAUCCAUCCCUUUUGGCAAAGGAAUUUUAGUUUCUAGAGUUUUCGAGGAUGGGUCAAGAUAACUGUUUUCAACCUAAAAUCUGGACCAUUUUGGUUAACGAUGUGACCACCAAGAACUUCUAUUUCCUGAAGCUUUGUCAUUAGUUCUCAUCAGAUAUAUUGAAAAAAAUCUGACAAGUGAAUAGACCUGGUGAACUCCGUUGCCAAAGAACAUGAGACAUUUCAACUAAACUGAAUCAGAUUAGAACUUCAAGUGACUGUUCUGUAGUAUUUUUUUUCUGUGUUCAUGCAAUGGUAUUAUCCACGGAGUAAGGAACUGAGUGAUUUUUGCAGAACUCAAACAUGCUUUCAUGUCUUGAGUGGAAAUUUAUCUGGUAUUUAUCUGCUUUUUUGGUUGAUAUUCUGUGAUAUCUGUGCCAUCCCGUGAGAGCCAAAUGCCAGUAAUGUUUUGCAACCAAUGUGAUGAAAUGAAGUGCAGGUAGUUUCAACACGAAGGAUCUUCCUCUGUUUGCAAUCUCAGAUGCCUCAUAGCUUUGGCCUCCCCAGGGGGUUGAUAGGAUGCUCCCUGGCAGGCUUCAUGCUUUGAGAUAUGGGAUCCACAUGAUCUGUUUUGUCCCCAGGUGCUGUGUGGAGUGUUUCUGGCUGGCAGUUGUUGGCCAGUGUUUCGUUUUGGCUCCUCUUUAUCCGUGACGUGUUCUCUGGCACAAUUCCUGUGGCAUGUGGAGCUGGGUCUCUUUCCUUGUAUAUUUCUGAAGUAAACAAUUUGGCUGAAUGUUUGAAUACUUCUAACUAGCAAUAGCACCAAACCAUAUGUGCUGCAGGGACUUGAAGCCAGCGCUUCUCUUCCAGAAACUGUUAUUAGUUCGUUUUCUGUGUUUGAUUUGCCAUUGUGAAUGUUACGCACAAUGAUUGAAGGCACUUUCUAAUUACUCUCUUAUUGUGCAUUGAAUUGGCAGGGUCAAGGAGGUUGUUUAGAAUCGAAUUAUAACCUUUGGGGGACUUGGCAUAGGGUCUCCUGCCUUUUGCUUUAUUCUGUGAUGUUGCAUAGGAUUUCAUAUUAUGAUAAAAUCCCAUUGAAAUAAUGGAGGGUUCUGAAAAUGAAGGCAUCUGGAAAUCUGUCUAUUGCUACGGCAGAACUUGGAUGUAACCUUCACAUCGUUGGAUCUGUCUCCCAAGGAUGGGGUAGGAAGUGCUGUAAUGUUAAUGACCUCCAGCCAGUGCCUCCUUCUUCCCAUGCUAAAUGCCAUUUUAACACAGCUUCUAUAGGAUAGGUUGGAGAGGGGGGCAGCUGUACAUUUAAUACUGCCAUACUUACUGGAGGUGUGAGUCUCAUCUUUGUGCCUGCUGUAUUUGAUAAGUGUUAGCAUUGGGAGUAUCUCUUCCAUUUGUGCUUUUUAUGGUCAUAAAUUGAGACUCUAACACAUCUUUUAUCAUGAACUAGGGCUUGUGCUCCUUUGGACCAUGGCUUUGGAGGUAUCUCCAAGGAAGUUUCCAGUGUGGCUGUGGGCCCUGCUGGCUUUUUUUUUCUUUGCAUCUCUUUCUUGCCUUUUUCUCCUUUAAACUUCUUCCUGUUCUCUUUUAGUUGUCAUUAUGGAGGUGGGGUUUUUCUCUCCCCUUUUGAAAGCUUUAAUUUCCACAAAGAUUUUAUAUGGUGUUUUUGUCAUUGUAAGAAUGUAAAGAGUAACUGCUAUCAAGUUGGUCUCCUGUGGACUUCAGUGUUUAAUGCAAGUAGUCUGCUUGCCCUUGGCUGCUAGCCUUGGCUCCCCUCCCCAAGGGUGCUGAGCUCUGAGCAGUAUCCCCAAUGCAUCUGAUUUAGUAGAUCUGCCACCUGCACAAUAGAGUUAAGAGCAGACGUUCCCCAAUUCCUAAUUAAACUGACAAAAGCAUUUUGUCCUACAGUCUUGUCCCUCCAAAUGGGAAGAGAAACCCAAAGCCACAACGUGGUUGUGAGUGCCUGCUCUCAUGAGCUUACACGCUUGCCACAGCUGGAGAAAAUGGUGCAGCAAAAAGUGGCAACGGCAGCUCUUGGGAUGAGCUGACAUCUGCCAGGAGGAACGUGGUUUGGCAGCUUCCACAGCACGAGGGCUGCUUUUCCCCACUGCGCACUCUAACGCAGACCCGCUUUCCCUGUCAUCCUUUGCUCAGUAAUGAGGAUGGUAAUUGGUCUUUAUUGGCCAGAGAUUUCAGUAGUUGUGAGUGACUUUCUGAGACCAAUCUUGCUUUUUUUUUUCUUUUCACUUUCCUUCAUUUAAUAAAAAAAUAGCAGCCUCCUUUCA
rnacentral:lncRNA from 1 species